GACAACAUCGGUUCUCACAGUUUCAAAUUGUGGACAGAUAAAGACUGAGUUCAGAAUGAAAUGGGACAUGAUAUAUGUAUAUGUAUCAUCCAUUCGCCCUGUGUGUGCGUUUUUCAAUUGAAUUUUAUUUGUAUCGCAAAUCAUUACUCUUAUUAUCUCAAGGUACUUUCCCUUGAAACAUUCCAAUAUCAGGUUGCUCAAAGAUCCAUGCACAAGCCUAGCAUGUGCCAGACAUGCACCCGGGUCUGAUCCUCCUGUGGUGGACCUGCCUCAGACGCGAGUGUCUCGUGAUUAAAAGGCUGAAACCUGAUGACACUAAGGUACACAACUGAAAAUAAGUCCCUAACAUCCACUGCUGGUCAAUAACAUCCAAUAACAUCAACUGGCAAUAGGCAACAUUUUUGCGAUAGAACGUACAAGGGAUAGUCUCCAUCUUGUCCCAUGUUAAAAAAGGGGAAAGUGUAUAGUUUAAAAAGGUAUAGAGGUAAUGAUGUUGAUGCCGCAUGGCUUUCUGCCAUACAAGCCAGUAGCCCAGGGGUGUCCAAACUACGGCCCGCGGGCCAACUGCGGCCCGCCAUCCAUUUUUAAUUGGCCUGUAUCAAAGUCUAAAAAUAUUAUGGCCCAUUGUAUUGCACUUCUUAGUUUAAACACUAGGUAGUGCCAAAGUUACUCCUGACCUGCCAGCUGUCCUUCAGACCAAAGCGAAGCAUCACUGCUCCCACUGAGCGCAACAUUGUUCCCAUUACAGGACAAUGCAGAGGGAUCAGCACCCUAAGAACCAAUCUGAGGCUGUCACUGAGAGAAUAAGCUCCCAACCUUUUUGGAAAAAAUAAAAUGAAAAUCUACUAAUGGA